rnacentral:rRNA from 1 species
UACGUAGGGGGCAAGCGUUGUCCGGAAUUAUUGGGCGUAAAGCGCACGUAGGCGGCUUUGUAAGUUAGAGGUGAAAGCCCGGGGCUCAACUCCGGAAUUGCCUUUAAGACUGCAUCGCUUGAAUCCAGGAGAGGUGAGUGGAAUUCCGAGUGUAGAGGUGAAAUUCGUAGAUAUUCGGAAGAACACCAGUGGCGAAGGCGGCUCACUGGACUGGUAUUGACGCUGAGGUGCGAAAGCGUGGGGAGCAAACAGG